rnacentral:rRNA from 1 species
GACGAACGCUGGCGGCGUGCCUAACACAUGCAAGUCGAACGGGGUUGCCCUUCGGGGCAACUUAGUGGCGAACGGGUGAGUAACGCGUGAGGAACCUGCCUUCCAGUGGGGGACAACAGUUGGAAACGACUGCUAAUACCGCAUAACACAACGAGACCGCAUGAUCUUGUUGUCAAAGCUUUAUGUGCUGGAAGAUGGCCUCGCGUCUGAUUAGCUAGUUGGUGGGGUAACGGCCUACCAAGGCAACGAUCAGUAGCCGACCUGAGAGGGUGACCGGCCACAUUGGGACUGAGACACGGCCCAA